UACGUAGGCAGCAAGCGUUGUUCGGAAUUACUGGGCGUAAAGGGCGCGUAGGUGGCCCGCUAAGUCGAACGUGAAAUCCCCGAGCUCAACUCGGGAACUGCGUCCGAUACUGGCGGGCUUGAAUCCGGGAGAGGGAUGCGGAAUUCCAGGUGUAGCGGUGAAAUGCGUAGAUAUCUGGAGGAACACCGGUGGCGAAGGCGGCAUCCUGGAUCGGCAUUGACGCUGAGGCGCGAAAGCUAGGGGAGCAAACGGG
rnacentral:rRNA from 1 species